GACGAACGCUGGCGGCGUGCUUAACACAUGCAAGUCGAACGGAAAGGCCCUGCUUGCAGGGUGCUCGAGUGGCGAACGGGUGAGUAACACGUGGGUGGUCUGCCCCUUACUUUGGGAUAAGCCUGGGAAACUGGGUCUAAUACUGGAUAGGACCAUGCUGUAGGUGGUGUGGUGGAAAGAUUAGUUUCGGUAAGGGAUGAGCUCGCGGCCUAUCAGCUUGUUGGUGGGGUAAUGGCCUACCAAGGCGUCGACGGGUAGCCGGCCUGAGAGGGUGGACGGCCACAUUGGGACUGAGAUACGGCCCAGACUCCUACGGGAGGCAGCAGUGGGGAAUAUUGCACAAUGGGCGCAAGCCUGAUGCAGCGACGCCGCGUGGGGGAUGACGGCCUUCGGGUUGUAAACUCCUUUCAGCCAUGACGAAGCCCUUGUGGUGACGGUAGUGGUAGAAGAAGCACCGGCUAACUACGUG
rnacentral:rRNA from 1 species